UGGCGUCCUAAGUACUCACAAGCCCCACCCAACUCCCAGGAUUUCGACGCUUGCACUAAGGCCACGCCCACUUCUAGCCCCGCUCUGGGUUUUUAAGCCCCGGACCGCGCGGCCUCUUGCUUCCGUUUCAUUGGGAGGACUGGACCGCGCCCACGUCCAGCGCCAGGAGGGUGGUCUUAAAGGUGUAUGUUCUUCCGGCUAUGGUGCAUUUUAUGGCUCUUGUUUACGCUUGCGUUUUUUGUGAAGAAAAGGCUGGGGAUGAACAGAAUGCGGCCGGGCAGGUGUCCCUGUUCCCUUCGAGCGGCAGCUGGCAGGUUUUCUCACAGAACCUCUCGUGCAUUGGAUGUGCUGAAUUAGUUACCACUGAUGACUUCCCGUCUCUACCUCCCCUUUGCUACAACGAUGGAUGAGCCACCACAUCUGGAUUUUUGCAUAGUUUAAGGAUUUGAACUUCGAUCUGUUAUGUGUUCAGCAAAUGAUUUCCCCACUAAACAACUCUCUGUCUCACCAACAUCAUUACAGCUUGACAACAACACUUCUCUCAAGAGGUCUGUCUUCCUAUUUCCCUUUGGGUUGUUUGUUUGUUUGUUUGUUUUCUUUUUUUUAAUUGGCCUUUCAAAAUGGACUACAUUUCCCAGAACUCUGAAGGCACCCAAUAUCACAUGAUCAUAAUCCAUCCAAUAAGGGGAGUGAUGUGUUCUUCCUCUUUUCCUCUUUCCUCCUUGGCCUAGUCUAAGACAGCGGAAUACUGGAUCUUGAGGAGGAAGGCCAUCUUUUAGAGACUUUAAAAGAAGACAGCAACAGUGAACUUACAUAUAAUAAAUAAAUAAAUAAGCUCUGAAGAGAUUCUUUCUUUUUUUAAAGAUUUAUUUAUUUAAUGUAAGCACACUGUCGCUGUCUUCAGACACACCAGAAGAGGGCAUCAGAUCUCAUUACAGAUGGUUGUGAGCCACCAUGUGGUUGCUGGGAUUUGAACUCAGGACCUCUGGAAGAGCAGUCAGUGCUCUUUUUUUUUUUUUUUUCUUUUUUUCGGAGCUGGGGACCGAACCCAGGGCCUUGCGCUUGCUAGGCAAGUGCUCUACCGCUGAGCUAAAUCCCCAACCCCGUAGUCAGUGCUCUUAACCACUGAGAGCCAUCUCUCCAGCCCAGAGAUUCUUUUUAAUAUUUUAAUUUUACUGUCUUUUUCUUUCUUCUUUUCAAGACACGGUUUGCCUCGGGAGUCCUAAAACUCGCCUUGUAAACCAGGCUGGCCUCAAACUCUACUCUGCCUGCCUGCGCCUCCUUUGUGCUGAGAUGAAAUGCUCCGCCACUGCAGGAUUCCUUUCAUUAUUUCUGUGUGAAUAUACUCACAUGAGGGCAGUGACCUCGGAGUCCAGAAGAGGGCGCUCCGCUCCUUGUGAGAUCCUGGAGAUCCACUCUCCUACCUGGAUAGCCAUCUCCCCAUCCCGGGUGGGCCUAAGUUCCAUUGCAUUUCACCCUAUUUUAUCACUCUGUGGCUUUUUUCCUUUGUCACAUGCACGUGCAGUGCAGGCAUUCGUGUAUGUGGGGGUCAGAGGUUGGUAUCAUGUCUUCCUUUAUCUAUAUUUUGUACUUUUUUGAGGAAGAGACGAGAGAUUUUCCAAGGGUCACUGGCAGGCUAGUUUAGCCUCGUGGAACUCCAAGUUCUCCGAGGGCAUGCAGAAGAUUUUUAUGCAAGAACUGGGAUUUGAACCCAGAUUUUCCUGUUUUUAUGGCAAGUACUUGACCAACUAAGCUAUGACUCAAGCCUUAUUUUUUGUUUGAUUUUUUUAAAAAAAAUUAUUUAUUGGCUCGUAUAAGCUACAGUGUACUUAUAUAUAAUAAAUAAAUAAAUCUUUGAAAAAAGAAAGAAAACUUUUUUAAAAAAUCAUUUAUUUACUUUAUUUAUAUGAGUGCAUUGCCACUGUCUUCAGACACACCAGAAGAGGGCAUCGGAUCCCAUUACAGAUGGUUGUGAACCACCACGUGGUUGCUGGGAAUUGAACUCAGGACCUCUGGAAGAGCAGACAGUGCUCUUAACCACUGAGCCAACUCUCCAGCCCUACUUCAUUCUUACAAGAACCCCGUGAAAUUUCACUCGUAUUAUUCACUCGGAUGGCCAGAGACAUC
ensembl:lncRNA